GCUAGCGGCGGAUGGGUGAGUAACACGUGGGCAAUCUGCCCUAAAGACUGGGAUACCACUUGGAAACAGGUGCUAAUACCGGAUAACAACAUGAAUCGCAUGAUUCAAGUUUGAAAGGCGGCGUAAGCUGUCACUUUAGGAUGAGCCCGCGGCGCAUUAGCUAGUUGGUGGGGUAAAGGCCUACCAAGGCAAUGAUGCGUAGCCGAGUUGAGAGACUGAUCGGCCACAUUGGGACUGAGACACGGCCCAAACUCCUACGGGAGGCAGCAGUAGGGAAUCUUCCACAAUGGACGCAAGUCUGAUGGAGCAACGCCGCGUGAGUGAAGAAGGUUUUCGGAUCGUAAAGCUCUGUUGUUGGUGAAGAAGGAUAGAGGCAGUAACUGGUCUUUAUUUGACGGUAAUCAACCAGAAAGUCACGGCUAACUACGUGCCAGCAGCCGCGGUAAUACGUAGGUGGCAAGCGUUGUCCGGAUUUAUUGGGCGUAAAGCGAGCGCAGGCGGAAUGAUAAGUCUGAUGUGAAAGCCCACGGCUCAACCGUGGAACUGCAUCGGAAACUGUCAUUCUUGAGUGCAGAAGAGGAGAGUGGAAUUCCAUGUGUAGCGGUGGAAUGCGUAGAUAUAUGGAAGAACACCAGUGGCGAAGGCGGCUCUCUGGUCUGCAACUGACGCUGAGGCUCGAAAGCAUGGGUAGCGAACAGGAUUAGAUACCCUGGUAGUCCAUGCCGUAAACGAUGAGCGCUAGGUGUUGGGGACUUUCCGGU
rnacentral:rRNA from 1 species